GAGUCGACUCCGAGGCAGAACAGUUCAAAAGACAGAGAAUCAUCUUUUAGGCCUCUGAGAACGAGACGUCUCUCGAAGAUCUCGAGUCGACUCUCAAGUCAGUCGAGUCGACUCCAAGUAAACCCGAGUCGACUCGAGGAAGAAAGAACAACAAAAAAAUUCAAAAGCUUCCUAAAGACAAAAAAGAAGAGGAAGCAAGAAGAAAGAAAGAAAGAGAUAAAAAGGAAGAAAGCCUUGACCAAGGAAGAGUCAAG
rnacentral:lncRNA from 1 species